rnacentral:rRNA from 1 species
GACGAACGCUGGCGGCGUGCUUAACACAUGCAAGUCGAACGGAGUGGCGACCGGGUGCGUAACACGUUGGUGACCUGCCCUGCACUUCGGGCUAAGCCUGGGAAACUGGGUCUAAUACCGGAUAGUGUGGGAUGGGCCCGCGGCCUAUCAGCUUGUUGGUGGGGUAAUGGCCUACCAAGGCGGCGACGGGUAGCCGGCCUGAGAGGGUGGACGGCCACAUGGGGACUGAGACACGGACCAGAAUGCUAAGGGAGGCAGCAGUGGGGAAGAUUGCACGAGGGGCGGAAGCAUGAUGGAGAGACGCGGCGAGGGGGAGGACGGUAUUCGGGUUGUAAGCUCCUUGCACAGUCGACGCGGGAGAUGGAGAAGAAGCACAGGCUAACUACGUGCCAGCAGCCGCGGUAAUAC